AAAAAAAAAAAAGAGAAUAAAUUUUUAUUUCCUGACAUGAGCAGAUGUUGAAGACAUAUUACUAACUGAAAUGGAAAAAAAGAUGGAGGGUGUUAUUACAGCACAAAAGGACUGAAAAGGACUUAUUUUUCUGUAUUGUUUGAAUUCUUAUGAGGGUACAUUUUGUAACAUCAAAAAGCAAAUUAAAAAUAUGGCUCAUUCCAAGGUACAAAAAAUUACUCUGGCAAAUCAAAGUUUUUCAAAGUAUCUUCAGACUCAAAGAAGUCAAAAAAUAAGCUGGACACAGAUAGACACUAUUUGUUCCUGUAGCAGCUGGAAACCACAGUGAAAGGGCGUUGGCUUUUCCUCCUUAGAAGGGCCUCAGCACCUGACUUUGGAGAGAGCCCAUUCUUUGCCAUUUUUCCUCUACAUGGUGGUUGUCAAUGGACUCUUAGGGGACCAAGAAUCACUUUACAACAUUCUGUUCUCCUAUUCAAAAUGGGUCAUGCUCCAUACUUCUCAGAGUCAUCACCCAAAAUCAUACAUUUCAAUGCUUUUUCAAACAUGUGAAUACCACCCAGAAAAUUCGUAAGCAUGCCAUUAUCCUCCAGGCCCUUUAUUACAUGAUCACCAUCAUUAAAGUCCUAACACUUAACCAUUUUGUAGUAGUUAUGACAACUGUUACCUUAACAGUGAACAGAUCAGAUGACAACGUAUCCAUGGCCAGGUGGGACGAUGUGGACCCAGGAGGACCUAAAAUCAUGGCCAAGAGACCUCUGCACCACAUGCUGACUCUGUAAGGCCAUCUCUCCUUGAGUGCUAGGUAUUGUUGAAGGAGGGAGUUUCUACUUGUCUCUACUGUGACUGAACAUGAAGUACAGACUUUUAUAAGUAAUAUAUAUAUUUUUUGAGACGGAGUUUCGAUCUUGUUGCCCAGGCUGGAGUGCAGUGGUGUGAUCUCAGCUUACCACAACCUCCGCCUCCUGGGUUCAAGCGAUUCUCCUGCUUCAACCUCCCAAGUAGCUGGGAUUACAGGCAAGCACCACC
rnacentral:lncRNA from 1 species